UGGUGUUAUUUGGUAAUUGUUAUCUAGGGUCCUAUUUUUGGUUAACAUAUUGCAUAUUCUUUACAUUUUAUGAUGUUAAACCUUUCUCCUUAUUAGAAGAUGAUGGUGAUUCAAGUGUGGGGGAGGACUCGUACAUAGGUAAUGGUGCCAUUGGACAUAUUUAUUUUAUCAGUGGUACUAUAAUGAAUGUGAGGUUCGAAGAUGGAGUGCCUCUGAUCCUUACCACGCUUGAGGUUCUUGAUCAUUCUACAAGAUAGGAACAUAUAUUGCACAUUCGUUAUUAGAAGAUGGUGGUGAUUCAAUUGUGGAGGAUGACUCAAACAUAGGAUCGGAGGUUUCAACAUAGUAGUCCAACAAUGCGUGGAAUGUCAACGAUAUCGUGUGGUGUUUUAAGAUCUUGGCUUGGAGAUGGUUAGUCAUAGGAAAAAUUAGUCAAACCAAUUGUAACUUUUAUAAUUUUAGCAAAGACCCUAUGCUAUUUUUAUCGCAAGUCUCAAUUGGUGGAUAAUUUUUCUUCGGGGUGUUUUGUUUUCCCGCCCCUCUUUUGUAAGUUCGGUUGAGAACUUGGGUUCUCUUUCAUCAAUGAAAUCUUGCCUACAGAAAAAAAAUAGUAGUCCAAUUUUGCAAUGUACUCCAUAUCAUAGAGUCGUUCUCUUUAGUCAUUCAACAUAUUUCGGUGCAUGUCUGAAGGGAUGUAUAAAUAGUACAUGUAGCGAGGUUGAUCUUAUUGGUGAAAAGAUAUUUGUCUAUUACUGCCCUUGUUGGUGAUUGAAACAAAAUAGUGACGCGCAAGAAACCUUGUGAUUAUUGUAAGUUUG